AAGAGUUUCUCAAACAAGAUCAAGCGACGAUUGAUUAUAACAUAAAUUUUAAAGCUUCUCUUGAAAAGAAAGAAUUAACGAAGGAUAAUAAAAAACGCGUAAUACAAUAUUGAAGCAAAACUCAAGGCAAAGAAAGAUAAAAAAAAAAAGUGCACAGAAAAUGCAGGAUGGAGUGGAAAAGGGUGAACAAGACAAAAUGGAAUGAAGAAGAAAGGGGAUGCAUUCAUUUCUCGCCGAAAUGCGGAAAAGGCCUUCCUUGCAUCCCGAAAAGUGUAUACGAUAAGGACAGAUCGUUAGGAUGAGAAUGGGAGGGGCAAGCGAGAGGAAUCAGGACGGGGUGCGCGCGCGAAGUGGCACUAGACCAUCGAUCGACUACGCGGUGGUAGUCGCCACCGUUACCACCACCACCGCCGCCGCUGCCGCCGCCAUCCUCGUAGCAGUUGAGCAUUUUGUAGUGCACGCAGAUUCGCAGGGCUGAGACUUUUUGCGUGAACACGCACGCGCUUAAAAAGAAAAACAAGAGUAGCGCAGCGGCUGCAAGGAAUGAAAAAAUGCAUCGAAACAGAAAGGAUAAAACGAAAGAAGCCGAAAAUGUAGUGAAGAGCAUAGGGUGAAAAACAAGAUUUUAUUAGAUAGUGAAGUCAAAAAUAGGAUGUUUCGUUUACAAAAAUCGAUUUGACUUUGAUCAUGGUGGUACUAUCCAAGAUCAAAUUGAUAAGAUUUGAUGAUGUAUGACGUUUUGAUCAUGAUACAGCAGAUAUACACGACGGCUGCUUUUGCAGAAUGGAGCGCACCGACCAGCUUAAAAAUUGAACCCAGGCAUGAAUGCCCAGGCGUAAAAAUAUCUCAUCUUGCUUUUCACAUUAUGGUAAAGAGAAUUGAAGAUAGCACUUUAAGAAGUGUCCGUCUGUAAAUUCCCGCUUUUGUUCUCACGAUAAGCUGCUUGAAAAUAAAUAAUAAUAACAAAUGCAGUCCAAGCAACUUGCUAAGACGAAAACAGUAUGGCUUGUAGUCUUUGCGGUCUUCUGUGGAACAAGAGGGCCUAAUGAUAAAUGAAGAAGUCAUGUUAACACACUUCGUAUAUGUUACUAACGAUUGCUUGACGAAGUUAGGUGCUUUUCAGCAAGAGACAAAUGACACAGUAACAUAGAGAAUUAUUAUAUCCUUGUUUGUUAAUGUUAAACGAAGAUAAUAUCAC